rnacentral:rRNA from 1 species
AUGCAGGCUGCCCUUAAUGCGGAAUUCACACGAGAGGAAAUCAAGGUAGCUCUUGACCACAUCGGAGACCUGAAGGCACCCGGGCCAGAUGGGACGCAGUCUAUAGUCUAUAAAAAGCACUGGCAUUUCACGGGGGAUCGCAUCAUGGAGGAAGUGCUUGUUGUACUGAAUGGUGAUGAUAUCCCUAUGGGGUGGAACGAUACAGUGGUUGUGCUGAUUCUGAAGGUCAAAAAUCCGAGCAAGAUCAAGGACCUCAGGCCGAUAUCCCUUUGUAAUGUACUGUACAAACUGGUGUCCAAGGUGAUUGCAAACAGACUCAAAACCAUCCUUCCUGAUCUUAUCUCAGAUAAUCAGAGCGCCUUUGUUCCGGGAAGACUUAUCACUGACAAUGUUCUUAUAGCCUACGAGCUGUCCCAUUUCCUGUGAAAUAAGAAGAAAGGGAAGGAAGGUGUUGCUGCGGUUAAAGCGGAUAUGAGUAAAGCUUAUGACCGGGUUGAGUGGAAUUUUCUACAGGCAAUGCCUGGCAAGCUUGGUUUUGAUAGAGCUUGGGUGGAUCUGAUUAUGAAGUGUGUUACAUCGGUGCGGUACCAAAUUAAGGUUAAUGGUGAGUUGACAGAGCAGUUUGUCCCGUCGCGUGGUCUGCGUUAAGGGGACGCAGUCUCGCCAUACCUAUUUGUGAUAUGCGUUGAAGGACUAUCAACUCUACUCCAUGCUGCUGAAAGGGAGGGCAGAAUAACUGGAGUUAAAAUCUGUCAGGCUGCCCCGACCGUGUCACACCUGCUAUUUGCCGAUGAUUCAGUACUAAUGCUGGAAGCCACCUCGGAAGAAGCAAAUGAGCUGAGAGCAGUGUUGGAUCUCUAUUGGGCAUGUUCGGGAUAG